rnacentral:rRNA from 1 species
UAGUGUGCUGGCAUGCUUAACACAUGCAGUCGAACGGUAGCAGGCCCUUUGGGGUGCUGACGAGUGGCGGACGGGUGAGUAGUGCGUAGGAAUUGGCCUAGUGGUGGGGGAUAACCUGGGGAAACUCAGGGUAAUACCGCAUACGCUCUGUGGAGGAAAGCGGGGGACCUGAGAGGGCCUCGCGCCGGUAGAGGAGCCUACGUCGGAUUAGCUAGUUGGUGGGGUAAGGGCCUACCAAGGCGACGAUCCGUAGCUGGUCUGAGAGGAUGAUCAGCCACACUGGGACUGAGACACGACCCAGACUCCUACGGGAGGCAGCAGUGGGGAAUCUUGGACAAUGGGCGCAAGCCUGAUCCAGCAAUGCCGCGUGGGUGAAGAAGGCCUGCGGGUUGUAAAGCCCUUUCGGUGGGGAGGAACGGUCUGGUGCUAAGAUCGCUGGGCGUUGCCGUUACCCACAGAAGAAGCACCGGCCAACUCCGUGCCAGCAGCCGCGGUAAUACGGAGGGUGCGAGCGUUAAUCGGAAUUACUGGGCGUAAAGGGCGCGUAGGUGGUGCGUUGAGUCAGCUGUGAAAGCCCUGGGCUUAACCUGGGAAUGGCAGUUGAGACUGGCGUGCUGGAGUGUGACAGAGGACGGCGGAAUUCCCGGUGUAGCGAUGAAAUGCGUAGAGAUCGGGAGGAACACCGAUGGCGAAGGCAGCCGUCUGGGUUGACACUGACGCUGAGGCGCGAAGGCGUGGGGAGCAAACAGGAUUAGAUACCCUGUAGUCCACGCGGUAAACGAUGAGAACUAGACGUCAGGCGGGUAUGACUGUUUGGUGUCGGAGCUAACGCGUUAAGUUCUCCGCCUGGGGAGUACGGCCGCAAGGUUG